rnacentral:rRNA from 1 species
UACGAAGGGGGCGAGCGUUGUUCGGAAUUACUGGGCGUAAAGGGCGCGUAGGCGGCCUUCUAAGUCGAACGUGAAAUCCCCGGGCUCAACCCGGGAACUGCGUCCGAUACUGGAAGGCUUGAAUCCGGGAGAGGGAUGCGGAAUUCCAGGUGUAGCGGUGAAAUGCGUAGAUAUCUGGAGGAACACCGGUGGCGAAGGCGGCAUCCUGGACCGGCAUUGACGCUGAUGAGCGAAAGCCAGGGGAGCGAACGGG